GCAGUUUCCCCCAUAUUGUUCUCGUGGUAGUGAAUAAGUCUCACGAGAUCUGAUGGGUUUAUCAGGGGUUUCCGCUUUUGCGUCUUCCUCAUUUUCUCUUGCCGCUGCCAGAUAAGAAGUGGCUUUCGCCUCCCACCAUGAUUCUGAGGCCUCCUCAGCCAUGUGAAACUGUAAGUCCAAUUAAACCUCUUUUUCUUCCCAGUCUCG
rnacentral:lncRNA from 1 species